UAACACGUGAGCAACCUACCUUCGAGUCGGGGAUAGCCCUGGGAAACCAGGAUUAAUACCCGAUGUGGUCACGACGGGACAUCCCGAUGUGAGUAAAGGCGAAAGCCGCUCGAUGACGGGCUCGCGGCCUAUUAGCUUGUUGGUGGGGUAAUGGCCUACCAAGGCGAUGAUGGGUAGCUGGUCUGAGAGGACGGUCAGCCACACUGGGACUGAGACACGGCCCAG
rnacentral:rRNA from 1 species